GAUGAACGCUGGCGGCGUGCCUAAUACAUGCAAGUCGAGCGAAGCGUGGACGCGUGAGUAUCACGUGGAUAACCCCCUAUAAGACUGGGAUAACUUCGGUAAACCGGAGCUCAAUCCGAUAUUUAUACUUUGAUUCGGGCCGCAUUAGCUAGUUGGUAAGGUAACGGCUUACAAAGGCAACGAUGCGUAGCCGACCUGGAAGGGUGAUCGCUAACAGUGGAACGGAGACACGGUCCAGACUCCGACGGGAGGAAGCAGUGGGGAAUCUUCCGCAAGGGGCGAAAGCCUAACGGAGCAAGGCGGGGUGAGUAAUGAAGGUCUUCGGAUCGUAAAACUCUGUUAUUAGGGCAACGGUACCUGAACAGAAAGCAACGGCUAACUACGUGCCAGCAGCCGCGGUAAUAC
rnacentral:rRNA from 1 species